rnacentral:rRNA from 1 species
GACGAACGCUGGCGGCGUGCCUAAUACAUGCAAGUCGAACGCUGAAGGAGGAGCUUGCUUCUCUGGAUGAGUUGCGAACGGGUGAGUAACGCGUAGGUAACCUGCCUGGUAGCGGGGGAUAACUAUUGGAAACGAUAGCUAAUACCGCAUAAGAGUAGAUGUUGCAUGACAUUUGCUUAAAAGGUGCAAUUGCAUCACUACCAGAUGGACCUGCGUUGUAUUAGCUAGUUGGUGGGGUAACGGCUCACCAAGGCGACGAUACAUAGCCGACCUGAGAGGGUGAUCGGCCACACUGGGACUGAGACACGGCCCAGACUCCUACGGGAGGCAGCAGUAGGGAAUCUUCGGCAAUGGACGGAAGUCUGACCGAGCAACGCCGCGGGAGUGAAGAAGGUUUUCGGAUCGUAAAGCUCUGUUGUAAGAGAAGAACGAGUGUGAGAGUGGAAAGUUCACACUGUGACGGUAUCUUACCAGAAAGGGACGGCUAACUACGUG